GGAAGAGUAGGCCAACGGAACUGUUCUGCCUCAUGUUCUGGGGAGGUCUUCUCCAUUUUGCCACACCUGUGGAUCCUCUAUUUCUCCUUCUCCACUACCUCAUAAAGGCUGAUAAGGAG
rnacentral:sRNA from 1 species